AUGGCUCCUACAAAGGGUGGCGAGAAGAAAAAGGGCCGUUCUACCAUCAACAAGGUGGUGACCUGAGAUACGCCAUCAACAUUCACAGCACAUCCACAGAGUGGCCUUCAAGAAGCGUGCCCCUCAGGCACUCAAAGAGAUUUGGAAAUUUGCCAUGAAGGAGAUGGGAACUCCAGAUAUGUGCAUUGAUACCAGGCUCAACAAAGCUGUCUGGACCAAAGGAAUAAGGAAUAUCCCAUACCGCAUCCGUGUGCGGUUGUCCAGAAAAUGUAAAGAGAAUGAAGAUUCACCAAAUAAACUCUAUACUUUGAUUACUUAUGUACCCGUUACUGCUUUCAAAAAUCUAUAGACAGUCAAUGUGGAUGAGAACUA
rnacentral:lncRNA from 1 species